UCUCAGAUUGAACGCUGGCGGCAGGCCUAACACAUGCAAGUCGAGCGGUAACAGAAAGUAGCUUGCUACUUUGCUGACGAGCGGCGGACGGGUGAGUAAUGCUUGGGAACAUGCCUUGAGGUGGGGGACAACAGUUGGAAACGACUGCUAAUACCGCAUAAUGUCUACGGACCAAAGGGGGCUUCGGCUCUCGCCUUUAGAUUGGCCCAAGUGGGAUUAGCUAGUUGGUGAGGUAAUGGCUCACCAAGGCAACGAUCCCUAGCUGGUUUGAGAGGAUGAUCAGCCACACUGGAACUGAGACACGGUCCAGACUCCUACGGGAGGCAGCAGUGGGGAAUAUUGCACAAUGGGCGAAAGCCUGAUGCAGCCAUGCCGCGUGUGUGAAGAAGGCCUUCGGGUUGUAAAGCACUUUCAGUCAGGAGGAAAGGGUGUGAGUUAAUACCUCACAUCUGUGACGUUACUGACAGAAGAAGCACCGGCUAACUCCGUGCCAGCAGCCGCGGUAAUACGGAGGGUGCGAGCGUUAAUCGGAAUUACUGGGCGUAAAGCGUACGCAGGCGGUUUGUUAAGCGAGAUGUGAAAGCCCCGGGCUCAACCUGGGAACUGCAUUUCGAACUGGCAAACUAGAGUGUGAUAGAGGGUGGUAGAAUUUCAGGUGUAGCGGUGAAAUGCGUAGAGAUCUGAAGGAAUACCGAUGGCGAAGGCAGCCACCUGGGUCAACACUGACGCUCAUGUACGAAAGCGUGGGGAGCAAACGGGAUUAGAUACCCCGGUAGUCCACGCCGUAAACGAUGUCUACUAGAAGCUCGGAACCUCGGUUCUGUUUUUCAAAGCUAACGCAUUAAGUAGACCGCCUGGGGAGUACGGCCGCAAGGUUAAAACUCAAAUGAAUUGACG
rnacentral:rRNA from 1 species